rnacentral:rRNA from 1 species
UACGUAGGGACCGAGCGUUGUCCGGAAUCAUUGGGCGUAAAGAGCGUGUAGGCGGCCACUUAAGUCCUGCGUGAAAUCUUGCGGCUCAACCGCAAGCGGUCGUGGGAAACUGGGUGGCUAGAGUGCAGGAGAGGAGAGUGGAAUUCCUGGUGUAGCGGUGGAAUGCGCAGAUAUCAGGAAGAACACCCGUGGCGAAGGCGGCUCUCUGGAACGCAACUGACGCUGAGACGCGAAAGCGUGGGGAGCAAACAGG